rnacentral:rRNA from 1 species
GACGAACGCUGGCGGCGUGCUUAACACAUGCAAGUCGAGCGGUAAGGCCCUUUCGGGGGUACACGAGCGGCGAACGGGUGAGUAACACGUGGGUGACCUGCCCUCAGCUCUGGGAUAAGCCUGGGAAACUGGGUCUAAUACUGGAUAUGACUCCACGGUGCAUGUCGUGGGGUGGAAAGCCUUGUGCGGCUGAGGAUGGGCCCGCGGCCUAUCAGCUUGUUGGUGGGGUGANGGCCUACCAAGGCGACGACGGGUAGCCGGCCUGAGAGGGCGACCGGCCACACUGGGACUGAGACACGGCCCAGACUCCUACGGGAGGCAGCAGUGGGGAAUCUUGCGCAAUGGGCGAAAGCCUGACGCAGCGACGCCGCGUGGGGA